CCUACGGGAGGCAGCAGUGGGGGAUAUUGCACAAUGGGGGAAACCCUGAUGCAGCGACGCCGCGUGAGUGAAGAAGUAUUUCGGUAUGUAAAGCUCUAUCAGCAGGGACGAAAAUGACGGUACCUGAGUAAGAAGCCCCGGCUAACUACGUGCCAGCAGCCGCGGUAAUACGUAGGGAGCAAGCGUUAUCCGGAUUUAUUGGGUGUAAAGGGUGCGUAGACGGGAAAUUAAGUUAGUUGUGAAAUCCCUCGGCUCAACUGAGGAACUGCAACUAAAACUGAUUUUCUUGAGUGCAGGAGAGGUAA
rnacentral:rRNA from 1 species